GGUAAUAUGUCUGAUUAAAGUAGUAAAUUGUAAAUUUACACAAGAAAUAUAUAAAUUAUUUCUAUUACCA
rnacentral:tRNA from 1 species